rnacentral:rRNA from 1 species
AGUUAAAAAGCUCGUAGUUGGAUUUCUGGCCGGUGUGAUGAGUAGGCUCAUUGUAGCUUUACGAGUCGCGCUGACCAUCCUGGGAAAUCGCGGUCUGGGCCUUAAUUGAUUCAGUCUUGCAGUUCCCUCGUUUACUUUGAGAAAAUUAGAGUGUUCAAAGUAGGCUUACGCUUGAAUACAUUAGCAUGGAAUAAUAUUAUAGGACUCAGGUCCUAUUUUGUUGGUUCCUAGGACAAGAGUAAUGAUUGAUAGGGACGGUUGGGGGCAUCAGUAUUUCAAAGCGAGAGGUGAAAUUCUUGGACCUUUGGAAGACUAACAACUGCGAAAGCAUUUGCCUAGGACGUUCUCUUUAAUCAAGAACGAAAGUUAAGGGAUCGAAGACGAUCAGAUACCGUCGUAGUCUUAACUAUAAACUAUGCCAGCUAGGGAUCGGUGGAUGUUAUUUUAUGACUCCAUCAGCAUCUUAUGAGAAAUCAAAGUCUUUGGGUUCCGGGGGGAGUAUGGUCGCAAGGCUGGAACUAAGGAAUUGACGGAAGGG